rnacentral:rRNA from 1 species
AGAGUUUGAUCCUGGCUCAGGAUGAACGCUAGCGACAGGCUUAACACAUGCAAGUCGAGGGGCAGCGGGGGCGUAGCAAUAUGCCUGCCGGCGACCGGCGCACGGGUGAGUAACACGUAUGUAACCUGCCCUAUGCAGGGGGAUAACCCGGAGAAAUCCGGCCUAAUACCGCGUAACACCUUAGGGGAGCAUUCUCUUGAGGUUAAAGGAGAGAUCCGGCAUAGGAUGGACAUGCGUCGCAUUAGGUAGACGGCGGGGUAACGGCCCACCGUGCCGACGAUGCGUAGGGGUUCUGAGAGGAAGGCCCCCCACACUGGUACUGAGACACGGACCAGACUCCUACGGGAGGCAGCAGUGAGGAAUAUUGGUCAAUGGCCGAGAGGCUGAACCAGCCAAGUCGCGUGAGGGAAGAAUGUCCUAAGGAUUGUAAACCUCUUUUGUCGGGGAGCAAAAAGGCUCUGCGGAGUCGUAUUGAGAGUACCCGAAGAAAAAGCAUCGGCUAACUCCGUGCCAGCAGCCGCGGUAAUACGGAGGAUGCGAGCGUUAUCCGGAUUUAUUGGGUUUAAAGGGUGCGCAGGCGGCGUGUCAAGCAAGCGGUAAAAUAGCGGGGCUCAACCCCGUCGAGCCGUUUGAACUGGCGCGCUUGAGUUCAGGCGAGGUAGGCGGAAUUCGUGGUGUAGCGGUGAAAGGCAUAGAUAUCACGAAGAACUCCGAUUCCGAAGGCAGCUUACCAGUCUGCGACUGACGCUCAGGCACGAAAGUGUGGGUAUCGAACAAGAUUAGAUACCCUGGUAGUCCACACAGUAAACGAUGAGCGCUAGGUGUCCGGGUCGCAUGAGACUUGGGUGCCCGAGCGAAAGCGUUAAGCGCUCCACCUGGGGAGUACGCCGGCAACGGUGAAACUCAAAGGAAUUGACGGGGGCCCGCACAAGCGGAGGAACAUGUGGUUUAAUUCGAUGAUACGCGAGGAACCUUACCCGGGCUCAAACGACUCAGGAAUAUAUUGGAAACGAUGUAGCCAGCAAUGGUCUGAGUCGAGGUGCUGCAUGGUUGUCGUCAGCUCGUGCCGUGAGGUGUCGGCUUAAGUACCAUAACGAGCGCAACCCCUACCGCCAGUUGCCAACGGGUAAAGCCGGGAACUCUGGCGGGACUGCCGGCGCAAGCUGCGAGGAAGGCGGGGAUGACGUCAAAUCAGCACGGCCCUUACGUCCGGGGCGACACACGUGUUACAAUGGCAGGUACAGCGGGAAGCCACCUGGUGACAGGGAGCGGAACCCGAAAGCCUGUCUCAGUUCGGAUUGGAGUCUGCAACUCGACUCCAUGAAGCUGGAUUCGCUAGUAAUCGCGCAUCAGCCAUGGCGCGGUGAAUAAAUUCCCGGGCCUUGUACACACCGCCCGUCAAG